rnacentral:rRNA from 1 species
AUGAACGCUGGCGGCGUGCCUAAUACCUGCAAGUCGAGCGAACAGACGAGGAGCUUGCUCCUCUGACGUUAGCGGCGGACGGGUGAGUAACACGUGGAUAACCUACCUAUAAGACUGGGAUAACUUCGGGAAACCGGAGCUAAUACCGGAUAAUAUAUUGAACCGCAUGGUUCAAUAGUGAAAGACGGUUUUGCUUUCACUUAUAGAUGGAUCCGCGCCGCAUUAGCUAGUUGGUAAGGUAACGGCUUACCAAGGCAACGAUGCGUAGCCGACCUGAGAGGGUGAUCGGCCACACUGGAACUGAGACACGGUCCAGACUCCUACGGGAGGCAGCAGUAGGGAAUCUUCCGCAAAGGGCGAAAGCCUGACGGAGCAACGCCGCGUGAGUGAUGAAGGUCUUCGGAUCGUAAAACUCUGUUAUUAGGGAAGAACAAAUGUGUAAGUAACUAUGCACGUCUUGACGGUACCUAAUCAGAAAGCCACGGCUAACUACGUG